UACGUAGGGGGCGAGCGUUGUCCGGAAUUAUUGGGCGUAAAGAGCGUGUAGGCUGUUCGGUAAGUCUGCCGUGAAAACCUGAGGCUCAACCUCGGGCGUGCGGUGGAUACUGCCGGGCUAGAGGACGGUAGAGGCGAGUGGAAUUCCCGGUGUAGCGGUGAAAUGCGCAGAUAUCGGGAGGAACACCAGUAGCGAAGGCGGCUCACUGGACUGGUACUGACGCUGAUGCGCGAAAGCGUGGGGAGCGAACAGG
rnacentral:rRNA from 1 species